UACGUAGGGUGCAAGCGUUGUCCGGAAUUAUUGGGCGUAAAGAGCUCGUAGGCGGUCUGUCACGUCGGAUGUGAAAAUCCAGGGCUUAACCCUGGACCUGCAUUCGAUACGGGCAGACUAGAGUUCGGUAGGGGAGACUGGAAUUCCUGGUGUAGCGGUGAAAUGCGCAGAUAUCAGGAGGAACACCGGUGGCGAAGGCGGUUCUCUGGGCCUGUACUGACGCUGAGGAACGAAAGCGUGGGGAGCGAACAGG
rnacentral:rRNA from 1 species